rnacentral:ncRNA from 1 species
UAAUCAGGGGUGCCGCUAUUAGUUUGGCUGAGAGUCGAGUCGUGAAUUGUUUCCGGCUUGCAACCCUUUGAACCUGAUACGGGUAAUGCCGGCGUAGGGAGGUAAGAAA